rnacentral:rRNA from 1 species
GAAUUUUGGACAAUGGGCGAAAGCCUGAUCCAGCAAUGCCGCGUGCAGGAUGAAGGCCUUCGGGUUGAAAACUGCUUUUGUACGGAACGAAAAGCUUUGGGUUAAUACCCUGGAGUCAUGACGGUACCGUAAGAAUAAGCACCGGCUAACUACGUACAAGCAGCUGCGGUAAUACGUAGGGUGCCACCUGUAAUCGGAAGUACUGGGGGUAAAGCGUGCGCAGUCGUGGCGGUAAGACAGAGGGGAAAUCCCCGGGCUCAACCUGGGAACUGCCUUUGUGACUGCAAGGCUAGAGUACGGCAGAGGGGGGUGGAAUUCCGCGUGUAGCAGUGAAAUGCGUAGAUAUGCGGAGGAACACCGAUGGCGAAGGCAACCCCCUGGGCCUGUACUGACGCUCAUGCACGAAAGCGUGGGGAGCAAACAG